rnacentral:lncRNA from 1 species
AUUUUAAAAAAAAAAAUUCUAUAUAAAGUCUUAAAAGUAUAUAUAAAAUUUACCAAAGAAGUGAUGUCCGUGCAAUGCACGGGCCCGACAACACUAUUUUUGCGUUCGUGCUAGAAGACAAAGUGCUCCAUAUUAAAGUCAAAAUAAAUAAUCAUGAUCAAAGAAUUUUAUAUACAACAUGAGGAUAAUAUGUUUAUUUUCUCUGCAAUAUGUGCAAAUGAAAGACAUAAAAAUUGUACCCUUCCAACACGUAAUCUAGAGCUUUAGUUGUUGCAUAUUUUUAAACUUGCUGCAUGUUACUGCAAGGUUGUCUCCUUAUUUGCCUGUUGUACUUCACAGUUGCCCAAAAACUCUUUGUGAUCAAGUUGUCUAGUCUUGUAGGUUAGUAUUCCAUACCCUGUUUGCAUCAGCAAUACCAUGAUACAAUGACAGAAGACUCUCUGGUGGUGCUGCAACACAUGGUUUAGAUUGAAGUAAUACUCGAAUCCCGACGACUAACAUUUUUAAGUGACUAAUCUGUGAAAAAAGUAGUAAAUGAUAUGAUAUCACCCCGUCCUUGCAAAAAGAUGUUUUUCCGUCUUUGGGAUCUUGUUAAGUAGCUAACUCUUUCUCCCAAAAGUAAUUGUAUAUCGCUUGUGAAGAUAAACAAUACCCAAGAUGUACGCAUAAUAUUCGAAGUCGAGGCGUCUACAUUUUUGUUGUGAAACCCAAUGAGACCUUAUUUGUAGCUAAUGAGAAUACAGUAACAAUGUAAAUAUGAUACCAGUCAACUUAUUGCUAAUAAUACAUAAAAUAGAAAAGAGAGAAUUAUGUAUUCUUUCAGGCAUAAAAUUUAAGAAAAGCUAUUAAAAUCUUUGUUCUCUUUUGGAACUCGAAAUUAAGGCUAUUACAAUCUUUCACUAUUGAUGUUUUUUCUAAUAUAGACAUCAGUAAGCAAAUUACCGAUUCCGCUUGUUUCAAGUUCACAGAAGAUUUAAACAGGAAUUAGUGACGUGGUGACUGAAAUUGGACUAUAUGCAGAUUAUGAACACCAAUAGAAAUGCUUUAGAGUAAUGUCUAUAGGUAUAAUUUGUGAAUAGCAUAAGUAUGUAAAACUUCCUACCUCCGGCAUAACAUUUAAGGCCAUCUCGAAUUGCUCGACAAGCUCUCCCUGGUGGACAUCUUGGUCAAUUUCUGCCCCCAAUAUUGAGAUUGGAACCUUAAUAACUGAAAACCGCAACAUAUUAGCAACCUAUGAUUUAAGAAUCAGAAACAACCAAAAUCGUUAAAUUAUGAAAAAUGUCUUGAUCUUGCACUAAAUAAUGAAAUCAUGUUCUAAUUGAGAAGUAGAAAUGAACUAUCAUGGUAAACACAAUAUUUUUGAAAUAUCAAACCAAAUAAAUGUUUAAAACCAUCCCCUCCCCACUGCCACCAGCAGGUGGCAUUUAGAUAAGUUGUACAGUGACUUCUAGAACGAAAACCUUUUCUACUAAACAUUUAGCACCAUAGAAAUACAUGAGGGAAAAGAAUUUAGAUCAAAGUAACAAAAAAAGAUAAAGGUGACAUAGUAGUACAGCUAUAUGAUAACUUUUUAUCUGGUCAAACUCAGCAAGAUGUGGAACUCUGUAAAGAAAAAAGACAACAUGAAAAUAAAAAAUAGAAGUGUAAAUUAACCUAAAUUCAUUUGAAAAACGAAAACUAACAUAACUCACUUACCUCUGUUGGAAUAAAAUAAGACAAGCAGCACAGCAUCCUAAGCAAUUGGUAUGAAAUUAGACAGCUUUUGUUAAGCAACAGAAUUUACCUUUUGAAAGAGCCACAUGAAUGCUUAAUGAAGACCCAAAAAGAUGCCAAAUAUUCAUAUACAAACGAACUUUAUUUGAAAUCUUAAAUAUCACAUACCUAGAAGCUAGUGCAUUACUGGAAUGAUGAGAAAGCCACUGGCUUUUAAACUCAGCUCUUUUAGGUUGCAGUUGCAAUAAAAAUAAUUGUAUUCUCUCCGACGAUCUCCAAUGACAUUUGUGCAUAUCUACUAUGGCGUUUCAUAAUUUUAUCAGCGAGUUAUUGUUCCUCAGUAUACUGUGAUCUAUGUAAUCCACAUACUUUGCUUGCUGACAUUCCAGUUCCAAGCAAUUUUAUUUAUUUUGUUAAAGUAGUUUUUAUAAAUUGAUUUAAUUCUAAGAAACUUUACAUUAGCUAAAUACACAUCUUUAUUUGUGGAAACUACUGGACUUGGAGAAUUUCUUCAUCACAUCUACCUGGUGUUGAUCCUGGCAAUGGAAUAAUAAAUGGAAAUAAAAAACAGAAGUGUAAAUUAACCUAAAUUCAUUUGAAAAACGAAAACUAAUAUAACUCACUUACCUCUGUUGGAAUAAAAUAAGACAAGCAGCACAGCAUCCUAAGCAAUUGGUAUGAAAUUAGACAACUUUUGUUAAGCAACAGAAUUUACCUUGUGAAAGAGCCAUAUGAAUGCUUAAUGAAGACCCAAAAAGAUGCCAAAUAUUCAUAUACAAACAAACUUUAUUUGAAAUCUUAAAUAUCACAUACCUAGAAGCUAGUGCAUUGCUGGAAUGAUGAGAAAGCCACUGGCUUUUUAACUCAGCUCUUUUAGGUUGCAGUUGCAAUAAAAAUAAUUGUAUUCUCUCCGACGAUCUCCAAUGACAUUUGUGCAUAUCUAAUAUGACGUUUUAUAAUUUUAUUAGCGAGUUAUUGCUCCUCAGUAUACUGUGAUCUAUGUAAUCCACAUACUUUGCUUGUUGACAUUCCAGUUCCAAGCAAUUUUAUUUAUUUUGUUAAAGUAAUUUUUACAAAUUGAUUUAAUUCUAAGAAACUUUACAUUAGCUAAAUACACAUCUUUAUUUGUGGAAACUACUGGACUUGGAGAAUUUCUUCAUCACAUCUACCUGGUGUUGAUCCUGGCAAUGGAAUAAUAAAUGUAUAGACAAGUAUAACCAAAAUGAGUAAUCCAAUUAGUAUAUCGGAAUUUUGAAAUUUUUGUGGACUCGCCUACUUCAAAGAUAAAGAAGAAAUUAUUUCUAUUUGUGGCUGCAGAACCUAUUAAAUGCGCAUAAGUAGUAGUAAUGUCUUUGAGAAGGAUGAAAAUAUUAUACUUUCCUAACCUUCCUCGGAAGCUAACGGAGGAUUAGUAAUUGUAGAGUUUCGGUUUCCAGGUUGAAUGGCGACCUCUGAAGAAGAUAGUGCAUUACUUGUAUGAUGUAACAGUCGUCACUUUAGCUUGCAGUUGCAAUAAAAUUUAUUGUUUUAUUUUCGGCUACAUUUGUGCAUAUCGAAUACCGCGUGUCAUAUUCUUAUGAGCAAGUCAUUGUUCCCGAGUCUUUUCGGGUUAUGCAAUGUAUUGUCUUUGUUCGUUGAUAUUCCUGUUCCAAGCAAAUUUUUAUUUUGUUAAUAUUUAAAAUUUGGUUUAAUUCUACAAAAUUAUACAUUAUACCUAAUUUUCUUGAUGACACAAAAUUAGAUUAAUAAUACCAAACUACAAUUGAAACAUAUGCAAACAAUGAUAGACGUCUUAAAUGUUUUUCCUGAAUACAAUUAUAAAUAACAUAUACAUUAUUCGCCAAUGCUAUCUACAAAUAAGUAAUGUUCCCUGACAUAGGAGUAUGCCGUAGAAAGGCUGUGGGAAAAAAGAGCAAUAAUUGUUUCAAUUGCUUCAAGCAUGCUAUCAAACGCUUUAGGUGCGUCAUUAUUCGUGAUGGAUUGUAGAACAAGUUCAGCAAAUAGGUAAGCAAAAUCACAAUGGAGUCCAACCAACUCCUUAUUCUAACAAGCUUAAUUUAUAAAAGAAAAAAUAUGGAUGAUGUACGAAAGGAUAUAAAUCUCAAAUUAAGCAAGACAUGGUACAAAAACCAAAACAACCAGAGAAAUAAACAUAGAGUAGAUAUUUCCUACCACCAAAAAUUUCGGUGCCUCCUAGAUUUUCAAAUGGAACAAAAAUGGCAUAUUCAUCACAUGCAAUGUUAUAUGAGCUUUCAAAAAUUACAUACAUACCUAAAACUUCUGUCCAGUAAAAAUAAGUAAUGUACCUCUUGGAUUGUUGACUGGCAGAGGAGUAUAUUGGAGAAAAUCUGUGGAAAAAACAAAGAAAUAGAGUCUUGUUCAGUUGCUUCGGCAUACUAUCAAACAGCUUGGGUGCAGAAUAUAGUUGAAGUUUGUAUAAUAAACCCAAAAGAACUGGCGAUUACAAACAAAGAAAGUACAGCAAAAGAGAAGCAACCCCUAAAAGAACUGGCAAUUACAAAUAAAGAAAGUACAAUAACAGGUUGUAGAAAAAAAUCAAAAACAGAAGGAGAUCAGAUGAACACCAGAGGGAGAAGGUGAUGAAAUUACUCACAAAAGGAAAAUUACAGAAUGAAAUUUGACAAAGAGAAGAGAACAGGGUAAAGUACGAU